rnacentral:rRNA from 1 species
GUGAGGAAUAUUGCGCAAUGGAGGCAACUCUGACGCAGCCAUGCCGCGUGCAGGAAGAAGGCGCUACGCGUUGUAAACUGCUUUUAACCGGGAAGAAACCCCAGGACGUGUCCUGGGUUGACGGUACCGGAGGAAUAAGCACCGGCUAACUUCGUGCCAGCAGCCGCGGUAAUACGAAGGGUGCAAGCGUUAUCCGGAUUCAUUGGGUGUAAAGGGUGCGUAGGCGGAGCGUUAAGUCAGUGGUGAAAUCCUGCAGCUUAACUGUAGACUUGCCAUUGAUACUGGCGCUCUUGAGUGCGCUUGAAGUGGGCGGAAUGUGCCGUGUAGCGGUGAAAUGCUUAGAUAUGGCACAGAACACCAAUUGCGAAGGCAGCUCACUAAGGCGAUACUGACGCUGAGGCACGAAAGCGUGGGGAUCGAACAGGAUUAGAUACCCCAGUAGUCC